rnacentral:rRNA from 1 species
UACGUAGGCAGCAAGCGUUGUUCGGAAUUACUGGGCGUAAAGGGUGCGUAGGUGGUUGGUUAAGUUUGGUGUGAAAUCUCCCGGCUCAACUGGGAGGGUGCGCCGAAAACUGGCCGGCUAGAGUGUGGGAGAGGUAAGUGGAAUUCCUGGUGUAGCGGUGAAAUGCGUAGAUAUCAGGAGGAACACCUGCGGUGUAGACGGCUUACUGGACCAUGACUGACACUGAAGCACGAAAGCGUGGGGAGCAAACAGG